CCUAGAAUACCCUACCCUACCCUAGAGUACCCUACCCUAAAGUACCCUACCAUAGAGCCCCCUACCCUAGAACACCCUACCCUAGAACACCCUACGCCACCUUGGAGAAUCCUAGCCUACCCUGGAGCACCCUACCCAAGAACACCCUACCCUAUCUAUCUAUCAUAUAUGAGUCUAUCUAUCUAUCUAUCUAUCUAUCUAUCUAUCUAUCUAUCUAUCUAUCUAUCUAUCUAUCUAUCUAUCUAUCUAUCUAUCUAUCUAUCUAUCUAUCUAUCUAUCUAUCUAUACUGAACAAAAAUCUAAACGCAACAUGGAACAAUUUAAAAUAUUUUUCUCUGCUACAGUUCACUUAAGGAAAUGUAUCAAUUGAAAUAAAUUAAUUAGGCCCUAAUCUACAGAUUCCACAUGACUGGGCAGGGGUGCAGCCAUGGCUGGGCCUAUGAGGGCAUAUGUCCACCCACUUGAGAGCCAAGCCGACCCACUGGGGAGCUAGGCUCAGCCACUCAGAAUGAGUUUUUCCACACAAAAUGGCUUAAUUACAGAUAGAAAUACUCCUCCGUUCGCCCCCUCACCCGCUGAUGAUCCGCAGGGGAAGAAGCCGAAUGUGGAGAUCCUGGGCUGGCGUGGAUAAAAGUGGUCUGCGGUUGUGAGGCCGGGUGGGACCUACUGCCAAAUUCUCUAAAACAACUUUGGAGACGGCAUAUGGUAGAGAAAUGAACAUUCAAUUAUCUGAAAACAGCUCUGGUGGACAUUCCUGCAGUCAGCAUGCUGACUGUGGCAUUGCGUUGUGUUGUGUGACAAAACUGCACAUUUUAGAGUGGCCUGUUAUUUCCCCCAGCACAAGGUGCACAUGUGUAAUGAUCGUGUUGUUUAAUCAGCUUCUUGAUAUGCCACACCUGUCAGGUUGAUGGACUCUCUUGACAAAGGAUAAGAUGCUCACUAACAGGGAUGUAAACAGAUUUGUGGACAACAU
ensembl:lncRNA